rnacentral:rRNA from 1 species
AAUCAACGCUGGCGGCGUGCCUAACACAUGCAAGUCGAACGUGAAAGGGGCUUCGGCCCCGAGUAAAGUGGCAAACGGGUGAGUAACGCGUGGGUGAUCUGCCUCUGAGUGGGGGAUAACCUUCCGAAAGGGGGGCUAAUACCGCAUGACAUCCUGUUCUUGGAUGAACGGAGAUCGAAGCUGGGGACCGCAAGGCCUGGCGCUUGGAGAGGAGCCCGCGUCCGAUUAGCUAGUUGGUGGGGUAACGGCUCACCAAGGCGACGAUCGGUAGCCGGCCUGAGAGGUCGGACGGCCACACUGGGACUGGGAAACGGCCCAGGCUCCUACGGGGGGCAGCAGUGGGGAAUUGUUCGCAAUGGGCGCAAGCCUGACGACGCAACGCCGCGUGGGGGAUGAAGGUCUUCGGAUUGUAAACCCCUGUUGGGUGGGACGAACACCUCCAUGGUGAAUAUCCAUGGAGGCUGACGGUACCAUCUGAGGAAGCCCCGGCUAACUCUGUGCCAGCAGCCGCGGUAAAAC